GACGGAGGAUGCAAGUGUUAUCCGGAAUCACUGGGCGUAAAGCGUCUGUAGGUGGUUUAAUAAGUCAACUGUUAAAUCUUGAGGCUCAACCUCAAAAUCGCAGUCGAAACUAUUAGACUAGAGUAUAGUAGGGGUAAAGGGAAUUUCCAGUGGAGCGGUGAAAUGCGUAGAUAUUGGAAGGAACACCGAUGGCGAAGGCACUUUACUGGGCUAUUACUAACACUCAGAGACGAAAGCUAGGGUAGCAAAUGGG
rnacentral:rRNA from 1 species